rnacentral:rRNA from 1 species
AGUAUUGGGCAAUGGGGGAAACCCUGAUCUAGCAAUGCCGCGUGUGUGAAGAAGGCCUGCGGGUUGUAAGGCACUUUCAGUUGGGAAGUAACAGCAGCCGGCUAUUCUCCGGUUGUCUUGACGUAACCAACUGAAGAAGCACCGGCUAACCCCGUCCCAGCAGCCGCGGUAAUACGGAGGGCGCGAGCGUUAAUCGGAAUUCCUGGGCGUAAAGCGUACGUAGGCGGUUAGAUAAGGCGGAUGGGAAAGCCCCGGGCUCAACCUGGGAAUUGCAUUCGAUACUGUCUGGCUUGAAUGUGGAAGAGGGAAGUGGAAUUCCAGGUGUAGCGGUGAAAUGCGUAGAUAUCUGGAGGAACAUCAGUGGCGAAGGCGACUUCCUGGUCCAACAUUGACGCUGAGGUACGAAAGCGUGGGGAGCAAACAG